rnacentral:rRNA from 1 species
UUAAGUUGUUGCGGUUAAAAAGCUCGUAGUUGGAUUUUGGGCGCAGGCGGCCGGUCCGUCGCAAGGCGUGUACUGGCCGUCCUGGCCUCACCUCCGGUUCUCCGCCGGUGCCCUUGACUGAGUGUCGGCGGCGGCCGGAACGUUUACUUUGAAAAAAUUAGAGUGUUCAAAGCAGGCGAUUCGCCUGAAUAAUGGUGCAUGGAAUAAUGGAAUAGGACCUCGGUUCUAUUUUGUUGGUUUUCGGAGCGCGAGGUAAUGAUUAAGAGGGACAGACGGGGGCAUUCGUACUGUGCCGUUAGAGGUGAAAUUCUUGGAUCGGCGCAAGACGAACGACUGCGAAAGCAUUUGCCAAGAAUGUUUUCUUUAAUCAAGAGCGAAAGUCAGAGGUUCGAAGACGAUCAGAUACCGUCCUAGUUCUGACUAUAAACGAUGCCAACUAGCGAUCGGGGGGCGUUAGUUUUACGACCUCUCCGGCAGCUUGCGGGAAACCAAAGUCUUUGGGUUCCGGGGGAAGUAUGGUUGCAAAGCUGAAACUUAAAGGAAUUGACGGAAGGGCACCACCAGGAGUGGAGCCUGCGGCUUAAUUUGACUCAACACGGGAAAUCUCACCCGGCCCGGACACAGUGAGGAUUGACAGAUUGAGAGCUCUUUCUUGAUUCUGUGGGUGGUGGUGCAUGGCCGUUCUUAGUUGGUGGAGCGAUUUGUCUGGUUAAUUCCGAUAACGAACGAGACUCUGGCUUGCUAACUAGUUACGCGACCCAAUCGGUCGGCGUCUAACUUCUUAGAGGGACUAGUGGCGUUUAGCCACACGAGAUUGAGCAAUAACAGGUCUGUGAUGCCCUUAGAUGUUCGGGGCCGCACGCGCGCUACACUGACCGGAUCAGCAUGUGCUCGCCUUGGCCGACAGGUCUGGGUAACCCGCUGAACCCCGGUCGUGCUAGGGAUAGGGAAUUGCAAUUAUUUCCCUUGAACGAGGAAUUCCCAGUAAGCGCGAGUCAUU